UGGCAUAUAGUUCAGUGGUAGAACGACAGACUGUUAAUCUGUAGGUCGUAGGUUCGAUACCUACUAUGCCAG
rnacentral:tRNA from 1 species